ACAAUGUCAUCAUCACAGGACAGUAAACCUGAAGAGGAAAUCAACGUACGUGUAAUUAAUGGGAAACUUUCUCUUUUAUUUCUUUGUCCUUGACACAGAUGAUUCACACGGUUGCCAGAUCCUGCGCGAGAAACAAGCCAAUACUGAAGGAAGGAGUUAAAAGGACCGUGGAGACCAACCAUCAAGACGAACGCACGCACGCAACCAGUACGGGCCAAUCAGAGUUCCGACGAGUCGUACCAUCUGGACUGAACACCAUCUGGACUGAACACCAUCUGGACUGAACACCAUCUGGACCACACGUGUGUGUGUGUGUGUACACACAUAUAAGACCCCGAUGGUUAUGGUCCACACAGUCUGUCUGGGGCAAACGCGAGAACAUUGAGGACAUGCGAGACGGGGGAGUUGGUGGAGAGUUUCUCUGCCUCGACAUCGUGGUUAUGAUGUCACACUGUAAGAAUCUGCUGCUGAUUUACGUUGGACCUGCUCCGCGUCCACGAUGAUGAAACUUACGA